UAGGGGCAGUGAGGUGGCUUAAUGGAUAGAGAGUCAGCCCUAAGAGAUGGGAGGUCCUGGGUUCAUUGGGCAUUGGACACUUCCUAGCUUUGUGUGACUCUGGGCAAGUCACUUAACUCCCAUUGUCUAACCCUUCUGCUCUUCUACCUUGGAACCAAUACAUAGUAUUGAUUCUAAAAUAGAAGGUAAGGUGGGUGGAAUGAAAAUGACCAAGGAGUCAAAAUGAAGUUAUUUCUAUUCAAGUAAAAAAUAGAUGUAAGUCUCUCCUGAAACUGCUUGGAAAAGGUGGAGAAUACAGCUGGAAGCUCCAAGUCUCAGAUUCUCAAUUACAUGUGAACCUUGGCUUCUAUAGAAUCAACAAGAAGACCAUGCCCAGUGCUUUGAAGGAAAAACACUAAUCAUCUAAGAUCCUCUGUUCUAAGAACAACAUUGGUGAGAUGAAUAAGACUUUGAAUUUCUUAUCAAGUUAUUACAUUUCCCAUUGCUCAUUAGAGUAACUACUCAAUUUUCUUGCUUUUUAUUUUCUUUAAUAAAGCUGAAUAGAAUUAACUGGCUAAAUCCCUU
rnacentral:lncRNA from 1 species